UACAGAGGUGCGAGCGUUGUCCGGAAUCACUGGGCGUAAAGGGCGCGUAGGCGGCCUGAUAAGUAGGGGGUGAAAUCCUGCGGCUUAACCGCAGGGCUGCCUUCUAAACUGUCAGGCUAGAGCACAGUAGAGGCAGGGUGGAAUUCCCGGUGUAGCGGUGGAAUGCGUAGAGAUCGGGAAGAACAUCAGUGGCGAAGGCGGCCUGCUGGGCUGUUGCUGACGCUGAGGCGCGACGCGUGGGGAGCAAACAGG
rnacentral:rRNA from 1 species